rnacentral:rRNA from 1 species
AUUGAACGCUGGCGAAAUGCUUUACACAUGCAAGUCGAACGGCAGCACGGACUUCGGUCUGGUGGCGAGUGGCGAACGGGUGAGUAAUGUAUCGGAACGUGCCCAGUCGUGGGGGAUAACGUAGUGAAAAUUACGCUAAUACCGCAUACGAUCUAUGGAUGAAAGCGGGGGAUCGCAAGACCUCACGCGAUUGGAGCGGCCGAUAUCAGAUUAGGUAGUUGGUGGGGUAAAGGCCCACCAAGCCAACGAUCUGUAGCUGGUCUGAGAGGACGACCAGCCACACUGGAACUGAGACACGGUCCAGACUCCUACGGGAGGCAGCAGUGGGGAAUUUUGGACAAUGGGCGAAAGCCUGAUCCAGCCAUUCCGCGUGCAGGAUGAAGGCCCUCGGGUUGUAAACUGCUUUUGUACAGAACGAAAAGGUUUCUACUAAUACUAGGAGCUCAUGACGGUACUGUAAGAAUAAGCACCGGCUAACUACGUGCCAGCCGCCGCGGUAA